rnacentral:rRNA from 1 species
AAACGAUUGAAGUCAGUCGUACCGACGAGAAAUCAACUUAUUGUGUGCGAACUUGUGGGCGUGCGUGAGUUUCGGCCUCGCUGUUUGCAUGUUUGUGUGCUUUGGGUGUACUUUUUCGUAUGGUAGGCCAACGUCAGUUUCGAUCACUAUAAAAUGACUGGCGGAAUGUAGCUUCGAUUUCGGUUGAAGUGUUAUAGCCUCUGGUAGAUGUGGUGAUUGGGACUGAGGAUUGCAACGAAUAUCCUUUGGGCUAUCCGUCUGAUCUCUGAAAGUUGCUCAGGUGCCGAAAGCGUGCUUACGGUUAUCUAAGUUGACGGUCAAUAGGUUAGAACGUGAUUACAUUCGUUAAGGAUGUUGGCGUAAUGGCUUUAAACGA